AUUGAACGCUGGCGGCAUGCCUUACACAUGCAAGUCGAACGGCAGCGGACCUUCGGGUGCCGGCGAGUGGCGAACGGGUGAGUAAAGUAUCGGAACGUACCUUUCAGUGGGGGAUAACGUAGCGAAAGUUACGCUAAUACCGCAUAUUCUGUGAGCAGGAAAGCAGGGGAUCGCAAGACCUUGCGCUGAUUGAGCGGCCGAUAUCAGAUUAGCUAGUUGGUGAGGUAAAGGCUCACCAAGGCGACGAUCUGUAGCGGGUCUGAGAGGAUGAUCCGCCACACUGGAACUGAGACACGGUCCAGACUCCUACGGGAGGCAGCAGUGGGGAAUUUUGGACAAUGGGGGCAACCCUGAUCCAGCCAUGCCGCGUGAGUGAAGAAGGCCUUCGGGUUGUAAAGCUCUUUCAGCCGGGAAGAAAUCGCAUCAGCUAAUACCUGGUGUGGAUGACGGUACCGGAAUAAGAAGCACCGGCUAACUACGUGCCAGCCGCCGCAGUAA
rnacentral:rRNA from 1 species